rnacentral:rRNA from 1 species
AUUGAACGCUGGCGGCAGGCUUAACACAUGCAAGUCGAGCGGUAACAGGAGAAGCUUGCUUCUCGCCGACGAGCGGCGGACGGGUGAGUAAUACUUAGGAAUCUGCCCAGUAGUGGGGGAUAGCUCGGGGAAACUCGAAUUAAUACCGCAUACACCCUACGGGGAAAAGGGGGCACUUGUGCUCUCGCUAUUGGAUGAGCCUAAGUCGGAUUAGCUAGUUGGUGGGGUAAAGGCCUACCAAGGCGACGAUCUGUAGCUGGUCUGAGAGGAUGAUCAGCCACACCGGGACUGAGACACGGCCCGGACUCCUACGGGAGGCAGCAGUGGGGAAUAUUGGACAAUGGGGGCAACCCUGAUCCAGCCAUGCCGCGUGUGUGAAGAAGGCCUUUUGGUUGUAAAGCACUUUAAGCAGUGAAGAAGACUCUAUGGUUAAUACCCAUAGACGAUGACAUUAGCUGCAGAAUAAGCACCGGCUAACUCUGUGCCAGCAGCCGCGGUAAUACAGAGGGUGCAAGCGUUAAUCGGAAUUACUGGGCGUAAAGCGAGCGUAGGUGGCUUGAUAAGUCAGAUGUGAAAUCCCCGGGCUUAACCUGGGAACUGCAUCUGAUACUGUUAGGCUAGAGUAGGUGAGAGGGAGGUAGAAUUUCAGGUGUAGCGGUGAAAUGCGUAGAGAUCUGAAGGAAUACCGAUGGCGAAGGCAGCCUCCUGGCAUCAUACUGACACUGAGGUUCGAAAGCGUGGGUAGCAAACAGGAUUAGAUACCCUGGUAGUCCACGCCGUAAACGAUGUCUACUAGUCGUUGGGGAACUUGAUUCCUUAGUGACGCAGCUAACGCAAUAAGUAGACCGCCUGGGGAGUACGGCCGCAAGGUUAAAACUCAAAUGAAUUGACGGGGGCCCGCACAAGCGGUGGAGCAUGUGGUUUAAUUCGAUGCAACGCGAAGAACCUUACCUGGUCUUGACAUAUCUAGAAUCCUGCAGAGAUGCGGGAGUGCCUUCGGGAAUUAGAAUACAGGUGCUGCAUGGCUGUCGUCAGCUCGUGUCGUGAGAUGUUGGGUUAAGUCCCGCAACGAGCGCAACCCUUUUCCUUAGUUACCAGCGGUUUGGCCGGGGACUCUAAGGAUACUGCCAGUGACAAACUGGAGGAAGGCGGGGACGACGUCAAGUCAUCAUGGCCCUUACGACCAGGGCUACACACGUGCUACAAUGGUAGGUACAGAGGGCAGCUACACAGCGAUGUGAUGCGAAUCUCAAAAAGCCUAUCGUAGUCCAGAUUGGAGUCUGCAACUCGACUCCAUGAAGUCGGAAUCGCUAGUAAUCGCGGAUCAGAAUGCCGCGGUGAAUACGUUCCCGGGCCU